GAUGAACGCUAGCGGCAGGCUUAAUACAUGCAAGUCGUGGGGCAGCAGGUCUGUAGCAAUACAGAUGCUGGCGACCGGCAAACGGGUGCGGAACACGUACACAACCUUCCUUUAAGUGGGGGAUAGCCCAGGGAAACUUGGAUUAAUACCCCGUAACAUAUAGAGACGGCAUCGUUUUUAUAUUAUAGCUCCGGCGCUUAAAGAUGGGUGUGCGGCUGAUUAGAUAGUUGGCGGGGUAACGGCCCACCAAGUCGACGAUCAGUAACUGGUGUGAGAGCACGACCAGUCACACGGGCACUGAGACACGGGCCCGACUCCUACGGGAGGCAGCAGUAAGGAAUAUUGGUCAAUGGACGCAAGUCUGAACCAGCCAAGCCGCGUGGAUGAUGAAGGUCCUCUGGAUUGUAAACUUCUUUUAUCUGGGAAGAAAUCCACUUUUUCUAGAGUGGUUGACGGUACCAGAUGAAUAAGCACCGGCUAACUCCGUGCCAGCCGCCGCCGUAAUAC
rnacentral:rRNA from 1 species